GUGUACACACGCUCCCCCCAUGCAUGGACGUGCUGUGAGCCUGGGAGCCAGGCUCUUGGUGCACUGUGUCAGGGGUGUGUAAAAUGAAAGCUUUUUGAAUUAGACACACAGGUGGCCAUUCCAGAGCCCUCCUGUGCACAUGUCAUGUCGCGUUCAGUCACUUAGCGCUGUGGACGUCCCAGCUCAGAGACGGCAAGGAGCCCUGCAUGGGUUCGCCCGCGACGGCGUGCUGGCUUGGUUGAGACUCAGAGGCUGGGAUGUCCAGAGGCGGCCCCACUACAUCCAUUCUGCCCUCUGUGGGCACACCUUGCUCUCCCGCAGAGACUAGAAAGCCAAACACGUUUCCCAAACUCCUUUCAGCAGAGUGUCUGGAAGUGGCUUCGGUGCUGUCGAGCGGAGUCUGUCAUAUGAGUGUGUUCAGAAGUCACUGGGCUGUGAGUCCAAGAUGGGACACCCAUGAGGCUGGAGCUCUGGCGGGGCUGUUGCCUGGACGCCACACAUGGUGUCUGCAGAGUGGCGCUCACAGGGUGCUGGGCUUUUCCGCAUGGGGCUGGUCUCCUCUCGUGGAGCCUCCGAAGAUGUCAGGUGGGAGCUGCAGGGCGUUUCUGACGUGGCCGCAGGAGCCCUGUGCCUCCACUCCCUUCUCAGACCUCACCUCUCCGUGGGACAGCCCCACAGAACUUGCAGAGCUGUUAAAGGCUGUUGCAGAGGGAGGUGGCACCCUGGGGGCCGCAGCAGCCCGGGGAGUGUGGCUCCCCCGCAGGCGUGGAGACUGGGCUCUAGGUGUUUCUGGGGCAACUCAAGCGGAGAUUCUGGAGACGCUCACAUCUGCUGGAAUGCAGGCUUUUCGUUCGUAGAAACAGCAAGCGGCCAUGAGUGUGAUUAAUUGGGAAUUGGAGGUGAGUAGAGGGUUUCACGGUCUCCUAAACCAACCUGAGGAAACAGGUGGUCAUUGUUGGCAUUUAACUGUGAGUAUUUCCAAAGCCCGCCGUAGAUUGAAACUCACUGCCGUAGCUGUGCAGGGUGUGGACAGGAUGGGGAUGGGGGUUGGUCUCAGUAGGGAGGCAGGGUCCCCGUUUUUACUAACAUCAGAUUUACAGGAUCAGCUCGACAAACAGACUGCUUUU
rnacentral:lncRNA from 1 species